CCCGCUGAACUUAAGCAUAUCAAUAAGCGGAGGAAAAGAAACCAACAGGGAUUGCCUCAGUAACGGCGAGUGAAGCGGCACAAGCUCAAAUUUGAAAUCUGGCUCUUUCAGGGUCCGAGUUGUAAUUUGUAGAAGAUGCUUCGGGUGUGGCUCCGGUCUAAGUUCCUUGGAACAGGACGUCAUAGAGGGUGAGAAUCCCGUAUGUGACUGGGUGCCUACGCUCAUGUGAAGCUCUUUCGACGAGUCGAGUUGUUUGGGAAUGCAGCUCCAAAUGGGUGGUAUAUUUCAUCUAAAGCUAAAUAUUGGCCAGAGACCGAUAGCGCACAAGUAGAGUGAUCGAAAGAUGAAAAGCACUUUGGAAAGAGAGUUAAACAGUACGUGAAAUUGUUGAAAGGGAAGCGCUUGCAAUCAGACUUGCGCCUGGUUAAUCAUCCGGGGUUCUCUCCGGUGCACUUGAUCAGGCUCAGGCCAGCAUCGGUUUGGGUGGUUGGAUAAAGGCCUUGGGAAUGUGGCCCCUCUCGGGGGGUGUUAUAGCCCUCGGUGCCAUGCAGCCUACCUGGACCGAGGACCGCGCUUCGGCUAGGAUGCUGGCGUAAUGGUUGUAAGCGACCCGUCUUGAAACACGG
rnacentral:rRNA from 1 species